AACGCGUGUUGACGCGGAGAACCUUGAAAGAUCGCACAAUCUACGCGGAUGAAUUCCGGAAGAUCGAGGACGACGGAAUUUAGGAGGAAAAGGAUAACAGGAGAUUUGAUCUUUAGCAAAGGUAUCUAUCGGAUGGAGACAAAUCGAUAGUCUAAGCGGCAAAGUGGAAAAUGUGGACGAUAUGAUGAAUGUUUUAAACAAAAUUUCGAAUCUUUAUCCCUGCAAAGAUGCUGAUAACGAUAUUUGUGUGAUAUCAUGUCAUGGGUACGUGACAAGAGAUUGCGCAUCACGCGGUGUGCAACGUCAAAGAUGUGGUCCAUGUGCCAAACGUUAUAAAAGCUGUGUGGGAUGGAAAUCGAAGAGACACACAGAAAUUCAAUUCAAACGUGCUAAGAAAAGAAAAUGCCAAGAA